AGCCUUAUAGUCAAAAAAUGAUAUUAAAUUGCAAAUUUAAAGAUAGUGAAAACUUAAGGCUU
rnacentral:tRNA from 1 species